CAGUCGCCGCGGUAACACGAAGGGUGCAAGCGUUACUCGGAAUUACUGGGCGUAAAGCGUGCGUAGGUGGUGGUUUAAGUCCGUUGUGAAAGCCCUGGGCUCAACCUGGGAAUUGCAGUGGAUACUGGGUCACUAGAGUGUGGUAGAGGAUAGUGGAAUUUCCGGUGUAGCAGUGAAAUGCGUAGAGAUCGGAAGGAACAUCUGUGGCGAAGGCGACUAUCUGGGCCAACACUGACACUGAGGCACGAAAGCGUGGGGAGCAAACAGGAUUAGAUACCCCGGUAGUCCCUGUCUCUUAUAA
rnacentral:rRNA from 1 species